rnacentral:lncRNA from 1 species
CCCAGAUCAAAGGACCUGAUGCUGGGAGACUGAUGGUCAGGAUCUUUCUCCUGCUGCUCUACCUGGGGCUCCGGGCAGCUGAAGGGGAGAUUGGGUAGCCCCUGUUGGGUAUGUUUUAUGUUCUGCUUUGUAUGCCUGCUGUUUAUUUGUUAACAAAACUGUUUUGGUUCCCCUUCCACCUCCUCUCUCCUUUUGCCCUGAUCUCCUUGGAAAGAACUGCUGUAUUUGGCAGCACAGAAGGUAAGCGCAGCAGCUGGGGCUGGGGAGGAGGACUACUUGCCCCCCUCACCUCUUCCAGCCCCCCCCCCCGUGCUGCUUCUCUGGCCUGCCACAAGGUCUGAGGGACAGUGAAGCAGCCUGCGGCUAAAAAACUUUGCCAACCCUUGCUCUAAAUAAAGUAUUUGCAAUUGUUCCUUGAAUCCGGCUCUGAAUCUAGUAACCGGGCGCUUGGUUAUUGGUACUGAGUAACUUGUGGACUCAAAGGUCAAGGAGUGAACCUUUCAUAACUUCCAACAUUUUCGUACCCAAAAUUGAGAUUUCAGGAGGGCUAUGCCUAUGAGGGACAUGGGGUGAGCUCCCGUUGCUCGGUCCCUGCUCCUGCCAACCUAGCAGUUCGAAAGUAUGUCAAAGUGCAAGUAGAUAAACAGGUACCGCUCUGGUGGGAAGGUAAACGGCGUUUCUGUGCGCUGCUCUGGUUCGCCAGAAGCGGCUUAGUCAUGCUGGCCACAUGACCCGGAAGCUGUACGCUGGCUCCCUCGGCCAACAAAGCGAGAUGAGUGCCACAACCCCAGAGUCGGUCACGACUGGACCCUAAUGGUCAGGGGUCCCUUUACCUUUAUGCCUUCUGGUGCUGGUCAGCAGGGUGUGCCAGAACACUAGCGCGACCCUGCUGACUCGCACCAGAGUGAGUGUCUUUUGGUCCGGUGCUCUGGUGCAAGGACUUACCCCAGAGCACCAGACCAAAAAACAGGACAUUCUGGGAUCCAAACAGAAGCUGGGAUUGGCUUUUGUGGUCCAGGAUGUCCCACUCUAAACGGGACACUUGUAGGGUAAGGCCUUUGGCUCAUGGCAAAUCCCAAGGAUGUCCAGAAACAAAUCUGAGUGUCUCUGACUCAGAUUUGGGGACUUUUCACGGGGGUGGUGGCAGAACUCCCUGGCAGGAUGGUUUCCCUUGGGCAUCAUGUGGCUGCAGGGCAAACCUCAUGCCCCUCCCUUUUGGUAGGGAUGCAGCAUUGGGGAAAUGGCCCUGGGCAGAGCAGGGGGGCACCUCCUUGCUUACACCCUGGCAGAGGUGAAAUUAAAAUAAGGGAAAUCGUACUACCAUCUGCUUCCUUACAUUCUUUGGCAAUGUGGGAUCAUAGACUGGGCUCCAUCAACCAGAGGUGGGAGUAGGGGGUAAACCCCACUUCUUUACAGUACAGUGGUACCUCAGGUUACAGACGCUUCAGGUUAGACUCCGCUAACCCAGAAAUAGUACCUUGGGUUAAGAACUUUGCUUCAGGAUGAGAACAGAAAUCACGCAGCGGUGGCAGCGGGAGACCCCAUUAGCUUAAAGUGGUACCUCAGGUUAAGAACAGUUUCAGGUUAAGAACAGACCUCCACAACGAAUUAAGUUCUUAACCCGAGAGCCAGUGUGGUGUAGUGGUUAAGAGCGAUAGACUUGUAAUCUGGUGAACCAGGUUCGCGUCCCUCUCCUCCACAUGCAGCUGCUGGGUGACCUUGGGCUAGUCACACUUCUCUGAAGUCUCUCAGCCCCACUCACCUCACAGAGUGUUUGUUGUGGGGGAGGAAGGGAAAGGAGAAUGUUAGCCGCUUUGAGACUCUUUAGGGUAGUGAUAAAGCGGGAUAGCAAAUCCAAACUCUUCUUCUUCUACCACUUUAUAUUUUACACAUCAGGAGCCUGCUUCGCCAUUGUGUUCCCUUUGGAGACUACGCUGCCAAAGCAGCACCCAGCAGGACUGACCCCUGCCCAGGGGCACUGGGUGAUUGACAGGUGGGCAUGGUUUGUGGGAAAUGGGUUUUGUGGGCCAUGCCUGGCCUUUGAGCCAGAGGUUUUCCCACCCAAGGAUGCUUGGUUUUGGCAAAUUACUGAAAGAGCCAUUGUUGUGCAGUGCAUAUGUUCAUUCCCCCAUCUUCCUUUAUUGCCUCUGAUUAAACAAGUUUUGCAGGUUUUUGAUGCACUUCAAAAACCUUAAAACCCCUUUGAUGGCCAGAGAUCACAGCAGAACAAAAAUAAUGUGGGUAUUGCAGGCAACAAUGGCUCAAGUGAUCCACAGAGCUCUCAUUCGUACUAUUUAUACAGUGCAUUUCCAAGUGAUCUAAGUGUUUCAUGUAUUUUAUCCAAGUAACCUUUACAAUGGGACGCGGGUGGCGCUGCGGGUUAAACCACAGAGCCUAGGGCUUGCCAAUCAGAAGGUCAGCGGUUCGAAUCCCCGCGACGGGGUGAGCUCCCAUUGCUCGGUCCCUGCUCCUGCCAACCUAGCAGUUCCAAAGCACGUCAAAGUGCAAGUAGAUAAAUAGGUACCACUCCGGUGGGAAGGUAAACGGCGUUUCUGUACACUGCUCUGGUUCGCCAGAAGCGGCUUAGUCAUGCUGGCCACAUGACCUGGAAGCUGGACGCUGGCACCCUUGGCCAAUAAAGCGAGCGCCGCAACCCCAGAGUCGGCCACAACUGGACUGGUCAGGGGUCCCUUUACCUUUACCUUUAAACUUUACAAUAGACCCUGUGAGGGAGGCUGGGGUUGUUGCCCUCAUGUUGCACAGAGGGACUGAGGCCGAGGGAAUAGUGCCUUGUGCAUGGCAGCCUGGUGAAUUUGUGGCGUUUGAGGUGAGAUCUGAAUUGAGGAUUUCCUGUCUGUUUUGCACUGUUAGCUGCUCUGCUGCACUAGCUCUUAAUGAAGAUAAAUGGGCAAAUCUUAAUAGAGAGCAUGUCUGGACUCUUUUUGGAAUGUGCUUUUCUUGUCAUUCUUCACGCACCGAAAUACCUCGUUAGUAAGGAUCUCAUUAUGUGGUUUUUUUUCCUUUUUCCCUCUCGUUUGGUGUCAUUAGGUUAGGGCACAGUUAGAAAAUAUUUAUGGAAUUUACGAGCACCCCUUCAGUGAGCAUGCUGUGCUAAUGUGGCGUGGAAGCACUAGGCAAAUAAUAACUGUACUGAACAAUGUUACUAAUAGCACUUGGAUAAAACAGCUGUCGAUACCUGCAUGACUGGUUAACUUUCUGAAGAUUAUAUUAGAAUGGCGAUGAGACCGCACCAAAAGAUAUGAGAUGUCACUGCCCCCUAGUGGCCGUGGCUCUAAGUGUCUUUUCUUUAAAGGUCUAUAAAUGGUCAUUGCACCAAGGGCACAAAGGAAAAAGACAGAUGUUCACGCAAUUAGCCCCUGGAUUCAUAAAAUGGUGACAAGUAAUUAUAUAGGAAGCUGAGCAUGCUGGGAAACUGAAAGGAAGUGUUCAAAGCAGUACUGAGUAAAAAGUAAAUCCACAAGGGCAAUUCUGCUGUGUUAGAUUGGUGCAAAUUCCUAAAAUGAUAGAGGUCAUCAGAUGGCAGGCAACCAUUUUAUUUAAAACAUUUACCGUAUUUUUCCGUGUAUAACAUGCCCCCAUGUAUAAGACGCCCCCUAUUUUUGGGAACUCAAAAUUAAGAAAAUGGGGGGAGAUGGCCCCCAUGUAUAAGACUAAACCCCCUUUUUUAACAUUAUUUUUUAGUAAAAAAAACCUAGCCACAGCCAAAAAAACCACAGAAAAGUACAGUAUAUAAUAAUUAAAUAAUAAUAAUGUACCCCGCCCAUCUGACUGGAUUGUUCCAGCAACUUGGGACAGCUUCCAACAUAUACAGAAACACAACAACAACACAACAAAACAAAACAUCACACAUUAAAAGCGUCUCAAUACAGGGCUGCCUUCAGAUGUCCAUGGAAGGUCGCAUAAUUAUUUACCUCAAUGACAUCUGGCAGGAGCGUGUUCCACAGGGUGGGUGCCACUGGCUGGUUCUCUGUUAACCUCACUUCUUGCAAUAAGAGAACUGCCAGAAGGCCCUUGGAGCUGGUCCUCAGUGUCCGGGCUGAACGAUGGGGUGCAGAUGCUCCCAUACGACAGUCCAGCUGAAGCAAUCAACCGAAAAGGUUAAGUCAAAUAAAAGCAGCAGAUAAAAGAGGGAGAAAAAUGCAGCACUCUGUUAAAGGAUCUGGAGAAUUUAGAAGGUGCAUAAGGGCACACGGGUGUUGAUGCUUCACAAGCCUGUCUGGGAAGACCUUUCUGCAAUCAUGGCAACACCACGGCAAAGGUCUGCUCCCUGGUUACCAGCUUCUUAACCUGUGACACCGGAUCCCCCAAAGGAGUGGCUCUAAAAUAGCUUUCAAAGGCUGAGCAGGUUCUGAAGGAGUAUGACAAUCCUUCAUGUAUUACAUGUCUACAGCACCUUCCUCCAAGAGCUUAAGAUCACAAACUCACACACUUCAUCCUUACAUCCAAUGGGCACUGGUCCGUUAAGGUAAACAGGUUACUGCCCCGCCAAACUCAAUCUUGAUUCCUCCCAAGUUCACGCACCUUCUUGCUUUACAGCUAGUCCAGAGGGUGCCCCUGGCUGUUUCCGCCUGAGUCUCAGUUUUGCCCUUGUAGAACUCGGCAGGGAGGAGGAUGGGGACAAAAGUAGACUCAGCCAGCUCCGCCUGCCAUUGUCUCUGGCUUCACCUGCUGUCAGCCUCCCUGCCCUCUUAUGAACCAGUCCCAGCAUCCACCGCUGCUCACAGCAACCAUGUCAGAUAUGUUAGACAGAGCAGCGACUGCCCCAAGGACAGCUGGAUGCUUCAUGGCUAAGUAUGAAUUUGAGCUUGCAUCUCUCUGUUUCAGGUCUUAGGUGGGCAGAGCUCAGCAGCAGAAGGCAUACUUUGAAAGCAGAAGGUUGCUGGUUUGGUCCUCCAGUAAAUUGCACCAGGUAGCAAACGAUAUGAAGCUCUCUGUCUGAGACUCUGGAGAGCUGCUGUUAGUCUGAGUAGACAUUGCUGGGCAAGAUGGAUCAAAGAUCUGACUUGGCAGAAGGUAGUUUCAUAACUUCAUCAAAAAUGCUGCAAGCAUCACUUCCCUCACUAGAAAAUUGCGGAAGCUACACGGAAAAUGCAAGUGGAAAAAAAUGUUAAUGUCUGAGCAUGCAUAAUGUGAGAUUGUUGCAGAUGCUGUAGAUUUAAAUUGUGAUCUAAGCAUCUCCUAUGAAAGAGCCUAGAGACUUCUAACUAUGAAUAAUUUGGCAGGAAUAUGCACUGAUAUAUAUAACAACCGAAGCUACCAGUUCACAGUUAAUUGCUUGCUACUUGUACAUAAUGUCAAAGUAAUAUAAAAUGUAAGAGACACCAAGAUGUUUACAUGAAUUUCUUAUGCUUUUUCACUUUCUUAGAUAAUCUGACGUGCUAUUCUAAAAGCUGAAAUGUCAAGCAUGGUUUUUCCUGGGUGAUAACAAUAGACAUGCAAAUAUCUUCGACAAGUUCCGUAAGAAGGCAGCCUACCCAGACUUCCUGCAGAGAUGCUGGCAAGGAAUAAGAAAUCCUUGAAGUGC